rnacentral:piRNA from 1 species
UGCUCACUAAUAAGGAAAUAGUCAAAAAAG